rnacentral:rRNA from 1 species
AUACGGAGGAUGCAAGCGUUAUCCGGAUUUAUUGGGUUUAAAGGGUGCGUAGGCGGAUGAUUAAGCGUGAGGUGAAAUGCAACUGCUCAACAGUGGAACUGCCUCGCGAACUGGUUGUCUUGACUGCUCCUGCCGUGGGAGGAAUGUGUGGUGUAGCGGUGAAAUGCAUAGAGAUCACACAGAACACCGAUUGCGAAGGCAUCUCACGAAGGGGUGAUUGACGCUGAGGCACGAAAGCGUGGGGAUCAAACAGGAUUAGAUACCCUGGUAGUCCACGCAGUAAACGAUGAUAACUAACCGCUGGGUCGUAGUGAUUCAGUGGCCAAGCGAAAGCGAUAAGUUAUCCACCUGGGGAGUACGUUCGCAAGGUUAAAACUCAAAUGAAUUGACGGGG